rnacentral:rRNA from 1 species
UACGUAGGGUGCAAGCGUUAAUCGGAAUUACUGGGCGUAAAGCGUGCGCAGGCGGUUAUGUAAGACAGAUGUGAAAUGCCCGGGCUUAACCUGGGAACUGCAUUUGUGACUGCAUGGCUAGAGUUUGGCAGAGGGGGGUAGAAUUCCACGUGUAGCAGUGAAAUGCGUAGAGAUGUGGAGGAACACCGAUGGCGAAGGCAGCCUCCUGGGCCAGCACUGACGCUCAUGCACGAAAGCGUGGGGAGCAAACAGG